ACGUAGGGUGCAAGCAUUAUCCGGAGUAACUGGGCGUAAAGAGUUGCGUAGGUGGUUAGUAAAGUGAAUAGUGAAAUCUGGUGGCUCAACCAUACAGACUAUUAUUCAAACUCACUAACUCGAGAAUGGUAGAGGUAACUGGAAUUUCUUGUGUAGGAGUGAAAUCCGUAGAUAUAAGAAGGAACACCAAUGGCGUAGGCAGGUUACUGGACCAUUUCUGACACUGAGGCACGAAAGCGUGGGGAGCGAACCGG
rnacentral:rRNA from 1 species